rnacentral:rRNA from 1 species
UACGUAGGUGGCGAGCGUUGUCCGGAAUUAUUGGGCGUAAAGGAGCUCGUAGGCGGUUUGUCGCGUCUGCUGUGAAAACUCGGGGCUUAACUCCGGGCCUGCAGUGGGUACGGGCAGACUAGAGUGCGGUAGGGGGAGACUGGGAAUUCCUGGUGUAGCGGUGAAAUGCGCAGAGUAAUCAGGAGGAACGAGACCGGCUGGCGAAAGGGCGGGGUCUCC